rnacentral:tRNA from 2 species
GGAGAGAUGUCCGAGUGGCUUAAGGAGCACGAUUGGAAGUCGUGUGUGGGGGUAACUCCACCGUGGGUUCGAAUCCCACUCUCUCCG